AUUGAACGCUAGCGGGAUGCUUUACACAUGCAAGUCGAACGGCAGCGCGGACUUCGGUCUGGCGGCGAGUGGCGAACGGGUGAGUAAUGUAUCGGAACGUGCCCAGUAGCGGGGGAUAACUACGCGAAAGCGUAGCUAAUACCGCAUACGCCCUACGGGGGAAAGCUGGGGAUCGUAAGACCUUGCACUAUUGGAGCGGCCGAUAUCGGAUUAGCUAGUUGGUGAGGUAACGGCUCACCAAGGCGACGAUCCGUAGCUGGUUUGAGAGGACGACCAGCCACACUGGGACUGAGACACGGCCCAGACUCCUACGGGAGGCAGCAGUGGGGAAUUUUGGACAAUGGGGGCAACCCUGAUCCAGCCAUCCCGCGUGUGCGAUGAAGGCCUUCGGGUUGUAAAGCACUUUUGGCAGGAAAGAAACGUCGCGGGCUAAUACCCCGUGGAACUGACGGUACCUGCAGAAUAAGCACUGGCUAACUACGUG
rnacentral:rRNA from 1 species